AUGCCCCCAAUCCCACCCCCACCCCCUCUCGGCUUGGGGCUUCUCACUUCACCACCGCUCGCGUCGUCCCCCGCUGGCGAUUUCGUCUGCCCGUUGCCCCCUCCGAGUUCGUCGCCGUCGCCGUCGCCCCCUGCUGGCGAGUUAGUCGCCGUCGCCACCUCCAAACUUGUCUCCAUCGCCGUCGCUCCUUCAGCGCGCCUGCCGCUGCCACUUGAUCUGGCUAUGGAGCAUCUUCAGGACAUGGCUUCUGUCAUGUAUGAUGAUAUACCACCAGACUGCUUUAAUGCCAAAGUCCCACUACAUGUUUUUAAGUACCCUGACAACGAGGUUAUCCCGUUCUCAUGGAGCGUGAGAACUCAGGAAGGAGGCUCUACUAAAUGGAUCAGGGCUUCAAAAUUUGACCCUUUUGUCGCUAGUUGCAGAACUUAUGGACGGACAGAAGCUGCCCCUAUAUUGCCUUCUUCUCUUCAUGUCACGGUGAUGGUGUAUAUGCCUCUUCGUGAUGCCUAUCAACUGCAUGGGCUUAUGCAGGAUUCAGAUAUAUUACCUGUUGGGAAGUUGACGGUUGAUGCUCAACCUCAAGUCGAACCAUAUGUACUGCCAAUGGAAGUGGAGAUGCAAUGCCCUGAUGAGAAGGUGGGAUACAUUCAACCUAAUGCUGAGCAUGAUCUGAGUAUCGGUUUCACAGUUGUCAACUAUAACCUUCUCUGGUCCAAGGCAAAUCAGUACUUACAGAGGUUCAUCAAUGACAUUGAUAUAUGCACCGAUGUACUUGCUGGUAGACCAUCACCAGAUCUUGAAAGUUUGGAGGCUGCUUUGGAUGAUGCUAAAAAGAUGCUUAUCUUUAUCAUGUACAAUAGGAACAUUCCAGAGGCACACAACGUCUUACUGGAAAUGUUUCCUGAAGUACAUAAUACUGUUUACUUGGACUGUCAACAUUGCCAACACCCAGAUGCUGCUGUUGUGCAUGAAGAUUCCCCUGAGACUGUUGCGAGGCUGAAUGAAGCACUUGAAAAUCUCGGAUAUCAAGAUUAUGAUCUCCAUCACUCUGUCGAAGCUGCACAGUAUAAUCUGAUGGCUGUUAAGGGUAGACUGGAAUAUGGCAAACACUACCAAAGUGCGUCAGUUGCUUUUGCACUUGCAAGGAAAGAGUUUAGUGAUGCUCUGAAGCCCAUCAUCCACAAUAUGACAAUGGCCGUGAAGAAGCUGACGUUAAUGGGAGUCCCAAGUGAUGGCGAAGAUGGGCUUUUCGAACUGAACUGA
rnacentral:rRNA from 1 species